CAAAUUUUCCAGAAACACUGACAUGGAAACAGGAUCUUUCUUCUCCUACUGUUUGUUCCUCGACUACAGUUAUAAUCCUCUAUUUGUGACAUCAUAAUUAGUUGCCACUGGAGAAGACGAUCGUGUCACAAAAGGAUUAGGACCUAAGGCACAAACACUGACUUAGCAUGGAAGACACUCACCAGGUCAUUCAAGGGCACCAAGGUGGAAAAUGUCCCCAUCCUCAAGAAACUCAGGUCUUGGAGUCCAGCCACUAUGCUGUGGGGAAGCAAAGAAAGCUGUGGAGAGGCCACGUGGGGAGGAAUGCCAUCCUUAGCAUGGGCUGAGCUCCCAGGCAGCACCCAUCUCCAGACAUGCGAGUGAACAGGACUUCCGGCAAUUCCAGCCCCAGCCACUGAGUCACUUCCAGUUUCUCAGUGUUUCCAGGGGAGGCCUCAGACACUAUGGAGCAAAGAAAAUCUGACCCAGCUGUGCCCUGUCCAAAUUCCUGACCCAUAGAGAAUA
rnacentral:lncRNA from 1 species